UCCGCGGUAGCUCAAUGGUAGAGCGUCUCGCUGUUAACGAGGGGGUUGUAGGUUCGAAUCCUACCCGCGGAGCCA
rnacentral:tRNA from 1 species